AGAGUUUGAUCAUGGCUCAGGACGAACGCUGGCGGCACGCUUAACACAUGCAAGUCGAACGAGAGAAGAGGAGCUUGCUUUUCUGAUCUAGUGGCGGACGGGUGAGUAACACGUGAGCAAUCUGCCUUUCAGAGGGGGAUACCGAUUGGAAACGAUCGUUAAUACCGCAUAACAUAAUUGAACCGCAUGAUUUGAUUAUCAAAGAUUUAUCGCUGAAAGAUGAGCUCGCGUCUGAUUAGCUAGUUGGUAAGGUAACGGCUUACCAAGGCGACGAUCAGUAGCCGGACUGAGAGGUUGAUCGGCCACAUUGGGACUGAGACACGGCCCAGACUCCUACGGGAGGCAGCAGUGGGGAAUAUUGCACAAUGGAGGAAACUCUGAUGCAGCGAUGCCGCGUGAGGGAAGAAGGUUUUAGGAUUGUAACCUCUGUCUUCAGGGACGAAAAAAGACGGUACCUGAGGAGGAAGCUCCGGCUAACUACGUGCCAGCAGCCGCGGUAAUACGUAGGGAGCGAGCGUUGUCCGGAAUUACUGGGUGUAAAGGGAGCGUAGGCGGGAUCGCAAGUCAGAUGUGAAAACUAUGGGCUUAACCCAUAAACUGCAUUUGAAACUGUGGUUCUUGAGUGAAGUAGAGGUAAGCGGAAUUCCUAGUGUAGCGGUGAAAUGCGUAGAUAUUAGGAGGAACAUCAGUGGCGAAGGCGGCUUACUGGGCUUUAACUGACGCUGAGGCUCGAAAGCGUGGGGAGCAAACAGGAUUAGAUACCCUGGUAGUCCACGCCGUAAACGAUGAUUACUAGGUGUGGGGGGACUGACCCCUUCCGUGCCGCAGCAGACGCAAUAAGUAAUCCACCUGGGGGGUACGACCGCAAGGUUGAAACUCAAAGGAAUUGACGGGGGCCCGCACAAGCAGUGGAGUAUGUGGAUUAAUUCGAAGCAACGCGAAGAACCUUACCAGGUCUUGACAUCGUAUGCAUAGCUCAGAGAUGAGUGAAAUCUCUUCGGAGACAUAUAGACAGGUGGUGCAUGGUUGUCGUCAGCUCGUGUCGUGAGAUGUUGGGUUAAGUCCCGCAACGAGCGCAACCCUUACUGUUAGUUGCUACGCAAGAGCACUCUAGCAGGACUGCCGUUGACAAAACGGAGGAAGGUGGGGAUGACGUCAAAUCAUCAUGCCCCUUAUGACCUGGGCCUCACACGUACUACAAUGGCUGUCAACAGAGGGAAGCAAAGCCGCGAGGUGGAGCGAACCCCUAAAAGCAGUCUUAGUUCGGAUUGUAGGCUGCAACCCGCCUACAUGAAGUCGGAAUUGCUAGUAAUCGCAGAUCAGCAUGCUGCGGUGAAUACGUUCCCGGGCCUUGUACACACCGCCCGUCACGCCAUGGGAGUCGGUAACACCCGAAGCCUGUAGUCUAACCGCAAGGAGGACGCAGUCGAAGGUGGGAUUGAUGACUGGGGUGAAGUCGUAACAAGGUA
rnacentral:rRNA from 1 species